rnacentral:lncRNA from 1 species
AAACUUGGAAACCGAAAACUCGGCGGCCGAGGCUCCGUGCCCCGCGCGCAGCGCUGCUCCUGCCCCGGCCAAGGACGCACGGGCCAGCCGGCGGAACCAGAGGCUCUCACUCUUGCCCAGGCUGGAGUGCAGUAGCACGAUUAUGGCUCACUGCAGCCUUGACCUACCAGGCUCAAGCGAUCCUCACACCUCAGCCUCCCAAGCAGCUGGGACUACAGUUUAAUUAGGCAUAAAUAAAAAGCCACGUGAAGCCUGGAGAUACUGGACAUAGCAGAUUUGUCAAGCCAUUUUUCCCACCACCAGUGCCUGAGCACGACCUCAUUUGUCUUGGUCAAUGAAGCUCAAGGAAGCAUUGCACUUUGGCUUCCGCUUUAAGUUUUGUAUGUUGAUAUGUAUCCCAUGUCUUCUAACAAUAAAGUGCUAUUUCACUGACAUUAA